AUUGAACGCUGGCGGCAUGCCUUACACAUGCAAGUCGAACGGCAGCACGGGUGCUUGCACCUGGUGGCGAGUGGCGAACGGGUGAGUAAUACAUCGGAACAUGUCCUGUAGUGGGGGAUAGCCCGGCGAAAGCCGGAUUAAUACCGCAUACGAUCUACGGAUGAAAGCGGGGGACCUUCGGGCCUCGCGCUAUAGGGUUGGCCGAUGGCUGAUUAGCUAGUUGGUGGGGUAAAGGCCUACCAAGGCGACGAUCAGUAGAUGGUCUGAGAGGACGACCAGCCACACUGGGACUGAGACACGGCCCAGACUCCUAAGGGAGGCAGCAGUGGGGAAUUUUGGACAAUGGGCGAAAGCCUGAUCCAGCAAUGCCGCGUGUUUGAAGAAGGCCUUCGGGUUGUAAAGCACUUUUGUCCGGAAAGAAAUCCUUGGCUCUAAUACAGUCGGGGGAUGACGGUACCGGAAGAAUAAGCACCGGCUAACUACGUG
rnacentral:rRNA from 1 species